rnacentral:lncRNA from 1 species
GAAGCUCUCUGACGGGAUCCGCAAGUUUGCCGCUGAUGCAGUGAAGCUGGAGCGGAUGCUGACAGUGAGUGUUGUGUGAACGAAUGUUCAAUGCAGAGAAUGGAAAGUAGCGCAUCCCUGAGGCUGGACUCCAGAUCUGCACCGCCGGCCAGCUGGGAUCUGACUGCACGUGGCUUCUGAUGAAUCUUGCGUUUUUUACAAAUUGGAGCAGGGACAGAUCAUAGAUUUCUGAUUUUAUGUAAAAUUUUGCCUAAUACAUUAAAGCAGUCA